rnacentral:tRNA from 1 species
AAAGGAGUUGGCAGAUGGGUAAUGCGAUUAGCUUGAAACUAAAAGUAUACAGGUUUAACUCCUGUACUCCUUUA